ensembl:lncRNA
UUUCUUGUUAGGUAGCAUUAGCAAUUAGCAGUUAGCAGUUGGUCCUUGCAUCCUAGAUGAAGUAUGCUGGUAUCAUCUCUGUCUGUGGUGAGCUUGGCUGAAGUAGUGGUGUGUUUUAGCAAUUAGCGAUUAGCAUUAACAUGUAGCACUGGCAGGUUUGGUGAGCUGACUGGUAUAAUUUCCUUUGUCAGUGGUAAGUUGGCUUUGGACAUGGUGGCGGUCUAGCAGCUAGCAUUAGCACUUACAGGGGUUUGGAGAGUUUAUAAGUAUAGUUUCUUUGUCCUUUUUAGCAGUUAGCACUCAGUAUUCAGCAGAUAACUGGUAGCAUCUGGUCCCUACCUGGAGCAUCUCUUAAACGGGACUGGGUCAGCUGAACGUGGCAGUGCUGGUUGGAUUGUGUAGGAGCAGUGUGAACUUGCACUAGAGGGGUGAAUCUGGGACGCCAGAGUUCAUCUUAGCCUCCUGGAGGUGUUGUGGGACCAAACAGGAGAAACAGCAUUGAAUUGAGGAAUCCCUGCUCUCUGGUGGGUAUAGUGGUGGUCAGGGGUCUCUGGUGGGUAUAGUGAUGGUCAGAGGUCACUGGUGGGUGCAGUGAUGGUCAGGGGUCUCUGGUGGGUAUAGUGAUGGUGACGGAUCACUGGUGGGUAUAGUGAUGGUCAGGGGUCUCUGGUGGGUAUAGUGAUGGUCAGGGGUCACUGGUGGGUGCAGUGAUGGUCAGGGGUCUCUGGUGGGUAUAGUGAUGGUGACGGAUCACUGGUGGGUAUAGUGAUGGUCAGGGGUCUCUGGUGGGUAUAGUGAUGGUCAGGGGUCACUGGUGGGUAUAGAGAUGGCCAGGGGUCUCUGGUGGGUAUAGUGAUGGUCAGGGGUCUCUGGUGGGUAUAAAGACGGUCAGGGGUCUCUGGUGGGUAUAGGGUGGUCAGGGGUCUCUGGUAGGUAUAGUGAUGGUCAGGGGUCUCUGGUGGGUAUAGUGAUGGUCAGGGGUCUCUGGUGGGUAUAGUGAUGGUGACGGAUCACUGGUGGGUAUAGUGAUGGUCAGGGAUCUCUGGUGGGUAUAGUGAUGGUCAGGGGUCACUGGUGGGUAUAGAGAUGGCCAGGAGUCUCUGGUGGGUGUAGUGAUGGUCAGGGGUCUCUGGUGGGUGUAGUUAUGAUCAGGGGUCACUGGUGGGUAUAGUGAUGGUGACGGAUCACUGGUGGGUAUAGUGAUGGUGACGGAUCACUGGUGGGUAUAGUGAUGGUCAGGGAUCUCUGGUGGGUAUAGUGAUGGUCAGGGGUCUCUGGUGGGUGUAGUUAUGAUCAGGGGUCUCUGGUGGGUAUAGAGAUGGUCAGGGGUCUCUGGUGGGUGUAGUUAUGAUCAGGGGUCUCUGGUGGGUGUAGUUAUGAUCAGGGGUCUCUGGUGGGUGUAGUGAUGGUCAGGGUUCCUAGGACCUUCAUUCAGUGGGAUCUUUCUUGUUUUGAGCACAAGUGUCUUGAGUUUAAACUAACCUGAGACACACCUGAGACGUGACUCUAAGCUCUUGUCCACACGUAGCCGGGUAUCUCACAAAACGAAGAUAUUUUUCUACGAUUCGGCCUAUCAUCCACACGAAAACGCAGAUUUACGUCAUCAAAAACGAUUCUUUUUAAAAACUCCAACCAAAGUGAAGAUUUGCGAAUUCUCCGUUUUAUGCGUCU